rnacentral:piRNA from 1 species
AAUCAAGUAGAAGCCUAACAGAAGAACA